UACGAAGGGGGCUAGCGUUGCUCGGAAUCACUGGGCGUAAAGGGCGCGUAGGCGGCCAUUCAAGUCGGGGUGAAAGCCCAGGGCUCAACCCUGGAAUUGCCUUCGAUACUGUUUGGCUAGAGACCGGAAGAGGUAAGUGGAACUGCGAGUGUAGAGGUGAAAUUCGUAGAUAUUCGCAAGAACACCAGUGGCGAAGGCGGCUUACUGGUCCGGUUCUGACGCUGAGGCGCGAAAGCGUGGGGAGCAAACAGG
rnacentral:rRNA from 1 species